rnacentral:tRNA from 1 species
UCUGAAAUAGCUCAGUUGGUAGGGCAUCAGACUAUAAAUCGGAAGGUCCUGGGUUCGACCCCCUGUUCCGGCA